GACGAACGCUGGCGGCGUGCUUAACACAUGCAAGUCGAGCGGAGCGGCGAACGGGUGAGUAACGCGUGAGUAACUGCCCCCCUCUCUGGGAUAACAGUUGGAAACGGCUGCUAAUACCGGAUAGUGGGGGAUGACUCGCGUCCUAUCAGCUGGUUGGUGGGGUAGUGGACUACAAAGGCGACGACGGGUAGCCGGCCUGAGAGGGCGACCGGCCACAUUGGGCUGAGAGACGGCCCAAAAUCGUACGGGAGGCAACAGUGGAGAAUAUGUCCGAGUGGGGGAAAGUGUGAUGCAGCAGCGCCGGGUGCGGAAUGACGGCCUGCUGGUUGUAAACCGCUUUCAGCCAUGACGCGGUAGUGACAGAAGAAGCACCGGCUAACUACGUGCCAGCAGCCGCGGUAAUAC
rnacentral:rRNA from 1 species